GUGUAGGACCCACUGAUAUUUGGGUACUGUGACGUAGUGAUAGGCUUAACAUAUAAUAUGGCCAUAGGGUGGAACUGAAUCCCCAUAUUUGUUUGCUGAGAUAGGUUAUUUUAAGUAGCCUUAUACAAUUUAAAACUGUAUUUUAAUAUGUGCGCUGUUCCCUUAUCUGUAUAUUUUAUAAAUGUUGGUCUCUACGGCAGCACCACUGCUGAAAAAUGCAUGUUCUGGGUGUGCCCCCAACUCUCUUUUUCUCUUUAAUCUAAAAUACGAACUGUGUAUAUAAAUAUUACUGUGAUUAAUAGGGAGCAAGGUGGGGGUAUAAGCACAAUAAUUUUGGUCCUUAGCACCAAAUGUAUAGCCCUCCUA